rnacentral:sRNA from 1 species
AAACAUGUCGGUCAUCGGUCGAUACUCCGGGCAAAGCAAGGCAUUCCAUCCGAUCCAACCGAGGAAAAACU